UACGUAGGGGGCAAGCGUUGUCCGGAUUUAUUGGGCGUAAAGAGCGUGUAGGCGGCCUGACAGGUCAGCUGUGAAAACUCGAGGCUCAACCUCGAGACGUCGGUUGAAACCAUCUGGCUAGAGUCCGGAAGAGGAGAGUGGAAUUCCCGGUGUAGCGGUGAAAUGCGCAGAUAUCGGGAAGAACACCCGUGGCGAAGGCGGCUCUCUGGGACGGUACUGACGCUGAGAAGCGAAAGCAUGGGGAGCGAACAGG
rnacentral:rRNA from 1 species